UACAGAGGUCCCAAGCGUUGUUCGGAUUCAUUGGGCGUAAAGGGUGCGUAGGUGGCGCCGUAAGUCGGGUGUGAAAUUUCGGAGCUUAACUCCGAAACUGCAUUCGAUACUGCGGUGCUUGAGGACUGGAGAGGAGACUGGAAUUCAUGGUGUAGCAGUGAAAUGCGUAGAGAUCAUGAGGAAGACCAGUGGCGAAGGCGGGUCUCUGGACAGUGCCUGACACUGAGGCACGAAGGCCAGGGGAGCAAACGGG
rnacentral:rRNA from 1 species